GAUGAACGCUGGCGGCGUGCCUAACACAUGCAAGUCGAACGGACUCAUAUUGAAACCUAGUGAUGUAUGAGUUAGUGGCGGACGGGUGAGUAACGCGUGGAAAACCUGCCGUAUACUGGGGGAUAACACUUAGAAAUAGGUGCUAAUACCGCAUAAGCGCACAGCUUCGCAUGAAGCAGUGUGAAAAACUCCGGUGGUAUACGAUGGUUCCGCGUCUGAUUAGCUAGUUGGCGGGGUAACGGCCCACCAAGGCGACGAUCAGUAGCCGGCCUGAGAGGGUGAACGGCCACAUUGGGACUGAGACACGGCCCAA
rnacentral:rRNA from 1 species